CUUUCUCAAGGUAUGAAACUAUUUAAUGUUGGUUUGACUUUAAAUGCUUAAACUUUAUUAAAAUGCACAAAUGACAAGUGCUAACAAACAUGCAUUUUAUUCUGUUGGUAUGUAUACUAAUAUCAUGCUCCCUCACCACUGGAAGUUAGCUUUCUGACAGGUCUAAAUCUAGAGACAUGGCGGAUCAUGUGACUGCUGUUGCUGAGCAAGUCGCAGCAAUGCUGCCUGAACUCAGAGGGAGCAUUGUGGAUCGCAAAGUCACCAUUGAGCUGACCAACCAUGCAGAAACAGCUCUGUCUCAUCCUCAGGUUCACAUGUCGACAGGACAAGUCUUGGAUCCUCCACCACCAACAAUACCUGCAAAGGAAGAUUCCGCUUUUUCCUGCAGCAGGCAUGAUUCACUCUUGCAAUCACUCUAUGGUGUCAUCACCUAUGAUGUGUGUGCAUGCAACCAAGAAGCAUAUCGUAUUGCCAUCAUGUUCUGUGUCCCUUACAAUAGGCUGUCAUGUUCAAAUGAAUUUGGCAUUGGUAUUUUUACCCCUGACACAGUCUGUGAU